rnacentral:rRNA from 1 species
AUUGAACGCUGGCGGCAUGCCUUACACAUGCAAGUCGAACAGCAGCACGGGGCAACCUGGUGGCGAGUGGCGAACGGGUGAGUAAUGCAUCGGAACGUACCUUUCAGUGGGGGAUAACGUAGCGAGAGUUACGCUAAUACCGCAUAUUCUGUGAGCAGGAGAGCAGGGGAUCGCAAGACCUUGCGCUGAUUGAGCGGCCGAUGUCAGAUUAGCUAGUUGGUGAGGUAAAGGCUCACCAAGGCGACGAUCUGUAGCGGGUCUGAGAGGAUGAUCCGCCACACUGGAACUGAGACACGGUCCAGACUCCUACGGGAGGCAGCAGUGGGGAAUUUUGGACAAUGGGGGCAACCCUGAUCCAGCCAUGCCGCGUGAGUGAAGAAGGCCUUCGGGUUGUAAAGCUCUUUCGGCCGGGAAGAAAUCGCACGGGCUAAUACCCUGUGUGGAUGACGGUACCGGAAUAAGAAGCACCGGCUAACUACGUGCCAGCAGCCGCGGUAA